GCUGCAUUGUUUGCCAUAUAGUACCCAUAAUUGAAAUAUACUAAUCAUGAUACUAUGAUAGUAUCUACACCUAACUCAAUUAGUUACAACAUUGCAAACAAAUUUUGUUUAGUGUAUUUGAUCAAUUGAUUAUCAGUAAUGGGAAUAGUUUUUAUUUAUAUGCCGAUUCCGAUAACCUGGUUGGGUAAUCCGUAUAAACUUGGACUGUAAAAAAUCUGGACAUUGGAAAUCUGGUAUUUAAAAUUGCAAAUCUACAGUAUAAAAUUGGACAGUACAAAUCUGGAAAAAACAUAAUCGUUUUUAUACAAAAAAUCGAG